rnacentral:rRNA from 1 species
GUAGGUGGCAAGCGUUGUCCGGAAUUAUUGGGCGUAAAGCGCGCGCAGGCGGUUCUUUAAGUCUGAUGUCGAAAGCCCACGGCUCAACCGUGGAGGGUCAUUGGAAACUGGAGAACUUGAGUACAGAAGAGGAAACGCGGAAUUCCACGUGUAGCGGUGAAAUGCGUAGAGAUGUGGAGGAACACCAGUGGCGAAGGCGGCUUUCUGGUCUGUAACUGACGCUGAGGCGCGAAAGCGUGGGGAGCAAACAGGAUUAGAUACCCUGGUAGUCCACGCCGUAAACGAUGAGUGCUAAGUGUUAGGGGGUUUCCGCCCCCUUAGUGCUGCAGCUAACGCAUUAAGCACUCCGCCUGGGAGUACGGCCGCAAGGCUG